rfam:Nicotiana attenuata strain TT chromosome 7, whole genome shotgun sequence.
GCUCUUGUAGCUCAGUUGGUUAAAGCGCUCGCUUAGUUAGUGGAGUUCUUGAGUUCAAAUCUCAACAAGAGCA